GAAAGCCAUAGAAUCGAGUCAGUGGCAUAGAAACACAGUAUCAUCGUAUCAAGAAAAGUAUUUUAGCACAAAUUGAUAAAAGCUGGCUUACACUUCAUCAAAGAAAAUCCAACUAUUCACUUCUGAAGAAAGGCAUCAUGGAUGACGGAGCUACAUCAGUGUCGAUCGGGAUUGCCAUUGCGUUCUCUGUUUUAGGGCUGUUCCUACUGAUCUGUUUGGUGCAGAUCUGUUGCAAAAAACUUAAUUACUGCAAAAAACUUAAACUGAAAAACCCGUCAAUAAAAGACCAAAUUUUGAAGAAAGUGAAUGUGAAGAAACCUCCAUUCUCAAUUAGCAGCAUCGUUGACAAGAAAUAACGCCAAGCACUCUUGUGCAGCCAUUGCGUCAAUCUUUCCUCUAUUACUUUUUUCAAACUCACAGCAGAUGCACGGAAAAUACAUUUUCUCGAACUUUAAAGGUCAUCAGACAUCGAUGAAAUCAUAUCUAAAUACACUGUUCCAUAGCACAUAAUCUCCGUGGUGAUUUCAUAGUGGUCCGAUAUGAGGAAGUGUUUACAAAUGAUCAGUUUCAUACAAAUGAGUGAAAUGAAAAGUAUGGUGUAAAGUACAUGUAAAUGGGCUCACAAUUACACAACUUUGCUCUGUUAUUGUGUAGUAUAAGUGUGGAGGAAGUGUAUUGUGUUUACAGUAAAGUACCUAUAUAUUUUUACAAGCUGGAAUACAACAUAAAAAAAAAAAUGUGGACAUUUUAUUAAGUAGUUGCUAUUAUGAUACACUGUAAACACUGAGUUUUACAAAAAAAAUCACGUAUAAUGUAAAAACAGCAAUUGUAUGGAAAUUUACUAUUUGUUUUACAGAUCGUUUAUGUAUUUUUAAAACACAGUCAAAAAAAAAUCAUCCCUUAAAAUACAAUUAAUUUGCAAAAUGCAUAUCUUUGUCUACCAAACUGAUGUAAGCACAAUUACAGGUUUUUUUAUAUCGAGUGAAAUGUCUGAACUAUUGACUAUUUGUGUAAAUUGAGACAUAAUGUACAACAUAUAUAUAAUUUUCUAUUAAUCAUUAAGUCAUUAAAAACUACUGGCAUUGUACAUUUCAGGUAGACCUUGUUGAUUAUAAUGGAUACAUAUUGUUGUUUAAAAAUGGAGAAGACUUAAGAUGUAUGUGUUGUUUU